rnacentral:rRNA from 1 species
GUAGGUGGCAAGCGUUGUCCGGAAUUAUGGGCGUAAAGCGCGCGCAGGUGGGUUCUUUAAGUCUGAUGUGAAAGCCCCCGGGCUCAACCGGGGAGGGUCAUUGGAAACUGGGGAACUUGAGUGCAGGAGAGGAAAGUGGAAUUCCACGUGUAGCGGUGAAAUGCGUAGAUAUGUGGAGGAACACCAGUGGCGAAGGCGACUUUCUGGCCUGUAACUGACACUGAGGCGCGAAAGCGUGGGGAGCAAACAGGAUUAGAUACCCUGGUAGUCCACGCCGUAAACGAUGAGUGCUAAGUGUUGGGGGGUUUCCGCCCCUCAGUGCUGCAGCUAACGCAUUAAGCACUCCGCCUGGGGAGUGCGGUCGCAAGACUG